AUUGAACGCUGGCGGCAGGCCUAACACAUGCAAGUCGAACGGUAACAGGAAGAAGCUUGCUUCUUUGCUGACGAGUGGCGGACGGGCGAGUAAUGUCUGGGAAACUGCCUGAUGGAGGGGGAUAACUACUGGAAACGGUAGCUAAUACCGCAUAACGUCGCAAGACCAAAAAGGGGGACCUUCGGGCCUCUUGCCAUCGGAUGUGCCCAGAUGGGAUUAGCUAGUAGGUGGGGUAACGGCUCACCUAGGCGACGAUCCCUAGCUGGUCUGAGAGGAUGACAAGCCACACUGGAACUGAGACACGGUCCAGACUCCUACGGGAGGCAGCAGUGGGGAAUAUUGAACAAUGGGCGCAAGACUGAUGCAGCCAUGCCGCGUGUAUGAAGAAGGCCUUCGGGUUGUAAAGUACUUUCAGCGGGGAGGAAGGGAGUAAAGUUAAUAACUUUGCUCAUUGACGUUACCCGCAGAAGAAGCACCGGCUAACUCCGUG
rnacentral:rRNA from 1 species